AUGUCAAUUUUUGGACACUUCUUAAACAUGCUCUUGAACCUUUCCCAUGCCUCGAAAUAUGUCUCAAUAUCCAUCUACUUGAAAGAGUAAACUUUAUUCUGAAUUU
rnacentral:snoRNA from 1 species